GACAGAGGGUGCAAACGUUGUUCGGAAUUACUGGGCGUAAAGCGUGUGUAGGCGGCUCCGCAAGUCGGAUGUGAAAGCCCCGGGCUCAACCCGGGAAGUGCACUCGAUACUGCAGAGCUAGAGUGUCGGAGAGGUUGGUGGAAUUCUCGGUGUAGAGGUGAAAUUCGUAGAUAUCGAGAGGAACACCGGUGGCGAAGGCGGCCAACUGGACGAACACUGACGCUGAGACACGAAAGCGUGGGGAGCAAACAGG
rnacentral:rRNA from 1 species